rnacentral:misc_RNA from 1 species
CUUCGUCGCAGAACACCAGAAGGCGCUGCCCGUCGCGCGCGCCAAGCCAGCGCUCGAGCGGUUCGGGAUCGUGCACCUCGGCGAGACUGAGAAUGCCGCACUGUUCGGCGGCUUCGAUGACAUUGGCGCGCAUCCGCUCGACAUUGACGCGGCUGGCCUGCGUAAACCGGGUUGCCACCGGCCGCAGCGCUGAAACCCCCAUUUCAAUGGCUUUCUGCACCAUGUAGUCGAGCCGUGCGUGCUUCAGCGGGGCGAACACGUAAUGCAGAUCGGGCAGGCCGUCCUGUGGCCGGGUCUGGCUGACGAUCUCCGCGCGGUCCGGCCGUUUGCGGCCUGCGAGAGUAGCCUGCCACUCGCCGUCGCGG